UGAUGAGGGAUCAAGGGGAGAUGGUGGCUAUGACUCACAGGUCAAGACAGAGAAGGGGCGGGUGGAGCUGCAAGAGGCCAGGGUCAACAUGCAGGUGCUGAAGAAGGUUAUCUUUGGUCUCAUCCUCGGGAGAUUGCGCAGCUGGUGAGAGAUCAAGGGGAGAUGGUGGCUAUGACUCACAGGUCAAGACAGAGAAGGGGCAGGUGGAGCUGCAGGAGGCCAGGGUCAACAUGCAGAAGGUGCUGAAGAAGGUUAUCUUUGGCAUCACCCUCGGGGUCGUCCUGCUCAUUGUUGUCCUCUUCAUCAUCUUCUUUAUUACUCAAGACCUCUUUGUUGACAUUAUAGAGUCCAACAACUUCCUUGCCUCUGCACUCACCACUACUCUCUUCACCAACACUGAGGACACCACCACCUGACUGCCACCUCCUUUGGUCCUCAAGGCUCGUCGCUUGAAGGACCACCCUCUGCCAAGUUUGAUCUGACACUUGGGGAUAAGGGGGAGUAUGCACUAGUGGUGGUUGACAUGACUUGAGGUGUGCGAGGUGUGUUUGGGGGAAGGGGUAUGUUUGUAAAGAGAGAGGGAUAGGGGAGGAAAGGAGUGGAGGAAGAGAAAUAAGGAGGAGGAGGAAGGAAGAGAAAAGAAGAAAUGUUGAAGAAGAAAUAGAAGAACAAAAGAAAGAAAGAAAGAAAGAAGAGGAAAGGAAGCAACUACAACAACAAGAAUAAAAGAAAGAAAAAAAUUAUGCUAAAGGCAAAAUGACGAUGAUGAAGAAAGUAAAGUAAAGAGGAAGGGAAUUUGGUGUGUGUGUGUGUGCUAUUAACAGUAGUGCUCUCUCUCUCUCUCUCUCUCUCUCUCUCUCUCUCUCUCUCUCUCUCUCUCUCUCUCUCUCUCUCUCUCUCUCUCUCUCUCUCUCUCUCUCUCUCUCUCUCUCAGCCCACAGCCCCACAGUAUGUCCCCCACAGUAUGUUGACUUACCCACAGCCACCACCCACAGCUCCCCCCCCAACCAAUAUAGAUCCUCCCCCAAUUUUAACUCACUCUCUCCUCAGGCUGUGCGGGUGUCUCCAGCAGCCUGUAGUAUGUACAAACACACAGAUGGACAUCUUUGGAGGAAGAAAAUGCUGUGUGCUGUAAAAAUUUAUAAGACACACUCAAUGAUAACACAUUAGACAAACCUGAAUUUUACUUAUUCAAGCAAAACAGUAAAGAGAGGAAGAGGAGGAGGAUGAGGUACAGAUGCAUUAAAGGAAGACCUGCAAGUGAAGGAAGAGGAACAACAACAACAGCAAAUGAAAAGAGGAAGAAGAGAAGAGAGAAGGAACAAGGCAAAAGGAAGAGAGGAAGAAGAGAAGGAAGAGGAAGAGAAGAAAGGAGGAACAUGGCAGAACAAGAAAGAGAAGAAAAGGAAGGAAGAAGAAACAUAAGACACAACAAAGGAAGAGGAUGAUGAUGAUGAAGAGGAGGAAGAAGAAAAAGAAUAGAAAGAGAAGAAGAGAAGGAAAAAGAAACAUAAGACACAAUAAAGGAAGAGAGGAAGGAGAGAAAGAAGAGGAGGAAGAGGAAGAAGGAAUAUAAGACAACAAAGAAAGACAAAGAAUCUAAGGAAGAGGAGGUAGAAGAAGAGAGAAAGACCAAGAAGAUUUAUAGAUACAAUGAAAUGAUUAAGUUUUCACAAUCUCCAACACCAUUUUAUCCCAAUUACAACAGUUUAUUAUCCUUCACCAAACACCAAAAAACACACACCACAUCCAUACCUAAUUCAAAACCCAACCUACCUUCCACCUUAACAUCCAAUAAACAGAAUUUUCUAUCACAAACAUAGCUUAUCCUUUAUCCAAACAUUCUAUCACUGUUUCAUUCCAAUUACAACUGUUUAUCCUCCACCAAACUGGGGUACCCCAAACACACACACUGCCCAGCUUAUCCCAAACACAAUUUUUAUCUUCAUAUUUUUCAUAUCAACAAAAUAAUACAAAAAAUAAAUGAGUAAAAAUGAUUUCCGAUAA